rnacentral:rRNA from 1 species
UACGUAGGGGGCUAGCGUUGUCCGGAAUCAUUGGGCGUAAAGCGCGUGUAGGCGGCUCGGUAAGUCUGCUGUGAAAGUCCAAGGCUCAACCUUGGAAAGCCGGUGGAUACUGUCGAGCUCGAGUCCGGAAGAGGCGAGUGGAAUUCCUGGUGUAGCGGUGAAAUGCGCAGAUAUCAGGAGGAACACCAAUGGCGAAGGCAGCUCGCUGGGACGGUACUGACGCUGAGACGCGAAAGCGUGGGGAGCAAACAGG